GGGGGGGGCGGGUAGGGGAAGGCAGAUGCGGGCAGCACCCUGCCCCCCCCACGCUCGCCCUCUGCGGGGACGUCUCAACUCCAGGCCUUCAUUUCCUCACAGGAACUGACCUGUCCCGGUCCCUCGGGCCCUGCACCUGUCCAGCCCCCGGCCAGUCAGGCUCUGCCCCCUCCGUCCCGGGGCGGGGGGAAGGUGUGGGCAACUCCCCGGGGCCACAUGCUGGGCCAUCCAGUUGCCGAUAAACAAGUGCCCCUCUCGUGUCCGGGAGUGGCUCGCAGGGCCCCGGGGGUGUCAGCCCCUUGCGAAGAACCUUGACCUCCCUUUGCUGCUGACGCACAGCUCGGGGGUCCAUGCACUUUGGCUGAGCGUCCACGAGACGCCCUUGCUCAGCUCGGGGUGCCGGGGAGCGCCUGUCACCUGCAGAAGUUCCCUGAGCCGCUGCUUCUCCCCCUCCUCCCCUGGAGGCCGGGACAUCCCGAUGAAGGCCGCUUGUCUGGGGGCGCCUGCGCGUCCUGGUCCUUUCCCUGCGUUCCUGGGCACUCCCGCAGCAUUCCUGGGCAGGCCCCGCGUCUGACUCCAGGGCCCCCGACCCACUGCCCUCAGUGGCCGUCCCCCACCUGCGUGCCACCCCGAGGGAAGGGAGCUCCGGGCCCAGAGCUGAGAGUCCAGCACCCGAGGGCGAGCCCCAGCCCUGCCCGGGCGGCCUUGAGCAAGCCCUGGACGGCAAUUCAGCCUGGGGACGGGGCAGGGCACAGAGUGAUGCCCAGAGCCCUGACCCCCACUGCUACGCCGGUGGGACGGGAGUCUCCUGAAGUCAAGGAGGCCCCCGCGUCCGUGCCCUCCCGCGGCGGCCGUGCCCUGCCGGUCUUGUUCUCGUCACUGUUCACGUAGCAGGAUGCCCGCCGGAGCUCCACGGCGCGGGGACUUCCUGCGCACCUGCCGUGGGCUGGGCACGGGGAUGCAGGAAGGCAGACACCCACCCCGACCUCGUGGACCUUACCUCGUGCCGGGAAAGGAGCUUUGGUAAAAGAACCAGAGGGCGGUGAGGGAUACGGGCCCGAAGCUAUGGGGCGGGGCUGGCGGAGGGGUCCCUGCGGAGCCUGAGGACCACUGUCCUCGCCUCUGGGGAGCUGGUCCACCACACACAGGCCGCCUGGGGCCGAAGGACCGCCUCCCAGGCCGCUGUUAGGCCGUAAAACAAGGGCUUUGUUGGACUUCAGAGGGGAUGAAGCCAGAGCCUCCCUGGGGCAGCAGACUCGGAAAGGGGCAACCUGCUGGCCCAGGACGGCACCCGGCUCAGAGUGACACGCAACCCGCCAGGUGAACCAAAGGAGCAGCGCCCAUGAGGCAGCCCCGGCCACUGCCGAGAAAGACGCGCUGAAGAACAGUGUCCUCUGCCUCCUGGGGCGCCCAGCGGAGUUCAGGUGCCGGUCACACCCGCUCAGCGGGCUAAACGCCAUUGUCGUUGGCAUUCAAGGCCCCACGGAGGCCUGUGAAAUUCUAGCCGCUCCGAACGGAUGUGCAAUAUGAGGCCAGCCUCUGGGGGCCGAGGGUCCACCCUCCACCGCGUCUUGGGGGGCUCAGGCCUAGUCUUUGCGCCACCCCGUCCUUCAAGGCUCCGCAGAGGGGUGCCCGGGGAGCCUCUUCUGGUUCCCCCAUCCUCUGUGCAGACUUGACCGUCUCCUCCUCCUCUGUCCUUCAUACACGCCCAUCCUUCCCUCUUCUGGUCGCCGUGCCUCGAUUUUUAUUUUGAGGAUCUUCCCCCAUCCCAGACCUGUGGUCAGAAGCUGGCCACUGUCCCCCGCGCACACUGCCCCGAUUACCCCCUUACGUUACCCCCCCUUGUAACCCAGGGUUGCCCAAUCAGUGCAUGCUGCCCGCGGGCCACAGUGCUCUGUUGAGGGCCGGACACCCCACCCAAGUCAGUCCAAUGAGUGUCUUCCUGGGAACUUACUGGGAUUCUGGCAAAGAUAGACUCUCUUUUGACCAUUAUUUCCACAUCGUGGGAGGAAAGCCGAGCCUACCCAGGAGUGAGGCCAAAACAGAGGAGAGCAGACCUCAGGAUAGAAGUCAAAUUUCUGGUAACAUUGCUUAAGCCCCUGGAUCCAGGCAUGCCUGAAGCUGAACACACCUAGAUAGCUUUUUUAUGCCAAUCUCCUUUCCCUUAAGCCACUUUGAGGGAGGCUCUCUUUCACUUUGAAUCAAGAGUCCUAACCAGUCUCCCCCAAAGGCUUCAGGCGUUUAUCAUUUACGGGUUUAAGCCCAGCUCUUACGGGUGACAUUCAAAGCCUGCCGGGACUGCCUCAAGGCCCCUCAGGUCACCUCCCGGGUCCUCCAGCCUCCCAGACUGCUCACCUGCCCCAGGCUUUCUCCACUGGGCGGGUGCUUGGGGCCCCCGCUCUUCUCCCCACUAACACCCGUCAAACUACGACCUGUGGCCCAAGGUUCCGCUCAGACGCUACCUUCUCCGUGAAGCCUCCCUCUUCUCUCGCGGCUGUGGGAGCACCGAGUCCGUGCGACCCUGAUUUGCGCCUGCAUCUGCCUUUCUGGCGGGCAGGAGGCCCCUGAGGCAGGACAACGCCGUGCCCGACCCCCGACCCCCGACGGCCCAAGGAAGCUGGACUCUAUCCCAGCCCAAUGGGAAUGUGAUGAAGGGUUUUCUCUUUUAAAACAAGAGAACAUUUUAAGUUUAUCCAAUUGGUAAAAAUCGAAGCAUCUGAUGACACCCUCCGUCGGCAGAGCUAUGGGGGAACCCGACUAACCGUGAAAAUCACGCCGCGUGGUCCUUUGGACUCGGCAGGCCCGCUUCUGAGAAUUUAUCCCGCAGAUAAACUUGCGCUGGUCAAGUGUAGACGUUACAGAAGCUGAGCCGGUGUCGCCAAGGCCUGGGACCCCUAACUGUCCCUCAGCACGGGGACCGGUGGGAUGCGCUGGCCCCUCCCGACACCAGGACAUGCCAGCUGUAGGAGAGCGAGGGAGCUACGUGCCCGUGAAACCUUCGCACAGGGCACCCACCACUGCAAAGCGUGUGCAAGACCUGCUAGCUCGUGUGUCUAAAAAUUAAAAAAAAAAAAGAAGAAGCAGUGGGGGCGAGAGGACAGAUACUCAUUUCUGCUUGUUCAGCAUUAGGAAGCCCUGAGGGAAGCAUGGGACGAGCCCGAACACCACUACCUGCGGGUAUGGGCCGACCCCGCAGACGGCCGGCAACAGCUGAAGGAAGACUUUUUCUAAUAAAUCUUUUCACAUUCUUGGAUUUUUUGACCGCAGGAAAUGCAGUACCUGCAUCUUUCUUUUUCUUUUUUCUUUUUCUUUUUUUUUUUUUUAAGCAGAGGAGAGCUGUAGGUUUCAUUUGCUCCUUAGAGAGCUCACUCGGGCUGCAGGGCAGAGGGGGGCCUGGAGGAGGGGGAGCGAGUCAGGGAGAGCAGUGAGCAAGAAGGGGAGGGAGCCCCCCCUCCCAGAAGAGGCGCCGCCGAAUCCGGGCACUGCUGGGAGCUGGCCGGGCGGCAGCUGCUCCCUGCCCCGUCGCUGAGCAGGAACAAGGGACAAUCACCCACUCUGGAGCCAGUUGCAUCAGAGCCUUUGGAGUGAUGGGGAGUGUGGCGCUGCCUGGCGCCUGUCCCUCCCCCUCCCCCGGAGUCCGGCAGGCAGGGGCUGCUUGGGACAGGCAGCCCAGGGUGAUGGAGAAACCCGGGCGGGCCCCGCGACUGCUUUGGUACGGAGCCUAGAACCCGGGGUUUUGUGUCCUCCUUCCGCCUCCAUUAACUGUGUGAAUUUGAGCAAGUCAUUGCUCUAUCUCCGCCUGUUUGCUCAUCCCUUAAAUAGAAUAACCCGCGUGCAUGGUUGUCGCAUUUUGAACGAGGUAAGAUAAUGCCGAGGGCUUGGCCGCAUCGAGACCCGCUGAACCAUCGUCACGACCGUCAUUGUUACAAAGCAGGUUUCAACCAACUCAGGGCAGCAUUGAUGUUGCAAAGCACCUCAGUAAACAGGAGCCAUUUGCUCCCCAAUUAGCUUUUCUUCAACUCUGGGGGGAAUGUGUUUCCUUGGGCCACCGAUGCUGGGUCUAGCUUUGUGACUCUAAAUUGUCUGUUGGGAUGUUGGCAGGAGUAGAGCAAGCCAAGACCUGAAAUAUGGGAGCCUGCGGGGACUUGACGGCUCCUCCAAGGGAAAGCCAUGCCCAGGGAGCCCGCUGGUUCCCAGAGGCCGAGAGCUGUGGCACAGACUUGACCCCAGCUGGAGCCCGGAGCCAAGAGAAGCUGGUCCUUGCACAGAUCUUAUGACGCCCAGCGGACCCUAGUGAUCGAAGCCACCAAGUUUAGGUAGUUUUUGGUUGGCUGGUUAGAUUUGUUUUUGGGUUUUUUUGCAGCUUUAUUGCGACAGUAGCUGAUGGAAGCACCAACCAUGACUUGCACAAUAAAGUUGAAGGUCCUUCAAGGUCUUUUAGC
rnacentral:lncRNA from 1 species